GAGACCAGAAGUGAAAAGAAAUGCUGCAUCUAGCUGUGGACAUGCAUCCACUAGGAAGAACCCUAGCACAUUUCACUUCUGACAAAUGAAAACUCAGAAUUCAGAAACUGGAGGAGUUUAAGAAAACAUGCAAAAUGCUGAGGAUACACGUAAGUGAAAUAUUUAAUGUCCAUCAUUCAUAAAAGUUACAUUGUUUACAUAGGGUUCAUUAGUAUAUAAUAAAAAUGUCAUCUUAAUGAAAGAUUUUCUGGCAAGUUUUUAUAUGUUAAUUUGUUUAACAUACGCUUUGGCUAUACAGCUAAAUAGGAAUAUAUUUUUAAAAAAUCUUUCUGCAAAUAGUUGCUUCACGCUUACAAAACCUCAUCGCUAAUCAUUGGUUAUUGUCACACUUGCUUGUCGGCUCGUAAAAUCAUCUGCGUUUUAGACUGGGAAUCUCAGGAGCAACUAUUUGUAAUGUACUUGCUCGUUGCAUAGUGACCUUGUAAACAGCUCAGGGAUCCACAAAUGAUAUCCAUGUAUUCUAAAAGUCAUUGAAAGUUUUACAUACUGCUUAUGUUUUCGUAUAUUGAUGAAGAAUUUGGGGGUUGUUUUACUGCUGAUGCUGAUGGGAUUAUUUUUUUAAAAAAAAGUCGGUUUUAUACAGCAGGUUAAAAAAAUAAAAGGUAAACACCAAAGGAAAUACUUUUUGCUGUGUAACAGACAGUAUUGCUACCUCAUUCUUUUUGAUUUUAUAUAUAUAACAUGUUGGAACUGCGCUGUACUGCUUCUUUUCAAAAGAAACGUUUAAAUUAGCUGGAACAAUUAGCUAAGUGUUUACAUAAAAUUAACUAUGUUUGCAUCAAAUAAAAUGUUUAUUAAUGAAAGCUAUUAUACAAGAAACAUCAAAGAGAAAUUCAUCAUACAGAAAUGUACACUAUAUGUGACAGAUGGAAAAGUGCAUGCAGAUUUGUCUCAUAAAAAAAAAAAAGGAUUCAGAAACAAUAGUACUAAAGUUACUGGGUUUUGAUUCCUAUGAUUUGGAAUGAGUGAAAAGUUCUCUUUGAAUUUACAAAAAUCCAUUUAACAGAUAUGACUAGUACACAUUAGCAAGCAAGUGGAAUGAAUGCACUCAGAUUUUAUUUUACAAGUACUUGUGCUUGACAAAUGUGAUAUUUAAAGAAAAGUUUUCUUCGAAUAUGGGCUGGGUAGAUUGCUGCCAGGUUGCUCUGGUUUUAUACAUAGUUUCUCUAAAUUUGUUUUUAAUACCACACAAUUUGUUGAAGCCUCCAGUUCUGUUAAUUAGACAUCAUAAAAUAACAUAUGUUUUGUUAACAUUCAGGAAAUGACAUCAAGUCUUUUAUUUUUAUUUUUUGGCUCGAUAGAUUUUUAAAUGUAUGAUUAUCAUAACCUAAUAUUGUCUUUGUCUUCACUGCAGUGGAUUUCCGAUCAAACUUUUCCCCUUCUUUUAAUACUUUAGGGAAUUUUCAAACGUCGGGAUGUUUGGCUGUAAUGCCCCAUGAUUUGUUCUCCCUGAAAGAAAUCAUAGUGACAAUUUAUUAAACUACAGAGCAACCUGGCUUCUCGGGGUCUGCAAUUCUAGUUUGUGUUCAAUACACCUAGCAUUAAAUCUUGCUUCAUUUCAUCAUAUUAUUUAGGUUAUAUUCGUCAUGCAAUUACUUUAGCUGCUAGCUUUCUGACUUUUUUAGAAGCCUAUGAUGGGGUUUCCGUAUCAAAUCAGUGGGGCAUUACUUGGCAUGUUCAAAAAAGGGGGUUAAGAGGCUAACAUCUAAAUUGCACCAGCAGUAGCAUAUAUACUGAAUAGGAAGAAACUGAAAACCUAAGAAGGAACCGUAUUUUAGGAUAUUUAAAAGGCCGUGUUUCCAUGUUUAAUACCAAUUGGUCGCAGGUACCGUAAAAGCAAAGAGACACUCCGGAACAUGUAGGCUUUAGAUUGAAAAAUAAUAGUAAUAAAAACUGAUGGGAAAUAAUACUCCUUAGAUUCAAAAUGGUUUAUUCACACAAAUUUAAUAGGAUAUAUCACAAUUGUUUGGUCCAUAAAUAUUUAGGGGAAAUAGUUUCUAUACAAUGCAUUUAUCAAUAAACAAAGAAACAUGGACAAUUUUGCUAGACCACUUACUGUACUAUAAACACGAAGCUCAAUAUAUAAGAUUAUUGGAUUUAUCAACUAUAUCUGAAAGAGUGCACAACUGCUUUCUAUGACAUGUUUGUCCCCUCUAACAGGAUACACCAUAAAAAGAGUUUCAGAAAUAAGAGGUAAAACAGUACAAAACUAGUGAGGUGUCAAAAGGGCUUAAAACAGUUAAUUUAACAAACAACACAUAUAUCCUGAUUUUUCACAAACUUACUCCCAAGGUAUAUCAUAAGGCACAUAGUAGAACUGAGUUUUAAUUAGUCUACUUAAUAAAGUAGAUCUCUAGUACCAUAUAUUGUUCUGUCAAAGAACAAAAUUUAUAAGUAUCAAUAUUUUUACCUGUAAAAGUGUAUUAAUAAAGAUCUCAGCCUUACCAAGGUUGUUUGGUCUGGUUAGUGGUAAAUGCCCAUAAGAUAAUAGAAAUAGGAAAAGUCAAGAUUUAAUAUCCGUAGAAGAUGAUAACCAUACUUGCUAAAUAUAUAAUGGCAAACACACCUUUCUUCUAUUACAGUGUUAACAUCUCUUCCAUCAUCUUUUUUUAAAAAUAAGCUACUUUUCUGUGCUAAUUUUCUAAAAACCCUGAGCAAAAAUUACAAUAAUGCACUUUAAUGUGGGCAGUGAACUGUCAAUAUGUAACCACACAUUUAUACAGCCAAAAAGGACACCUUUAAAAUAUAUUAAAUAGCCACUUUGACCACCAAAAAAAGAGAUUUGAUGGUGUCUAAAAAGUGGGGUAUAUGUGCAAAGUUAUUCUUAACAAUCCACUAAAAGCAAGACAUAGAUCUUGACUGGUUUUUGUUCGGUUUUGUUUCUGAGACUCUCCACAAUCUAAUUGGUGUUCAACUACAAUAAAAGGAUACAAAUGAACAUUCACCACUGCCCAGACCAUUCAGACUUUUAGCUUAAAUAAAAUUAAAAAAAGAAAGUCCGCUAUUGUAAACUAAGAAAUGUAUUGAGAUCAGCAUCCACAAGGCUUCUGAGUUUAUCUGCUUUAAAAUUAUCCGCUGCCAAUUCCCAAUUUUGUAAGAAUUUUUGCUAACAUUUUGUCCUUUUAUACAAAGUUAAAAAAAAGGUAAAGCGUGUGUUAAGGAUAGCAAGGAACUAAAGAUUUUAAGGUGGUGUGUUAAACAAAGAAUCUGAUACAAUCUCAGGAAACAGCUACGGUAAAUUCAAAAUAGUAAUGAAUAAGUCGUACUAAAACCAUGUUCCUUAAACAUCUUAAUAAAUUAUAUUUUGCUUAUUUCCAUUUCCCUGAAAAACUGUGAUUUAUCAAAAGCUUCUUUUAACAGUGCACGUGCUUGUGCAUCAUUGAAAUCAUUUUUGUGCUCACUAGAGUAGCUGGAUGACCCCCUGUUUGCUUUAGUAGUACGGCAUGGAGGCCGAGUAGCAAACUGCCCUUUUUUUUUAAUUUAAUUCUGAAUCUGUGCCGUUCGACUGCAGAGCAGAAUGAAAACCCCUCCCUGUGCGAUAUGUCAGAUCAGAGGGACUCCCACCUCGAGCUGUUGCUCUGCUCUAACAAUACCCUUACAGCAGCGAGCUCAUUCCGGAGGGCGUUUCCCACCCUUGCCCUCCGUAACUCGCAGAGGUGAGCUCGGGGACCCCCAGCCUCAGCUGUGCUCGAUGGGCCCCACUCCAGGCCCCCACCGGCUGCAGCCCUCGGUGUGGGCUGGGUGCAAGGCUGCAGUGCAGCGCUCGGCCCCGCGGGGCUCCCAGCGUGCCCGGGGGGGGCGGCCUUGGCACUAACGCGUUACAAAGAAGCACUGGGACUUGCAGUCUGACUAGGUCAACGAUUUAAUCCAUGUCGUAUUUAUUUGUCUACAUUUAAAAAAUAAAUCGUACAAAACUUUUAGAUGCAUUAUAAAAAUAAAAGGAAAUCUUGGGUUCUGGAAGUGAACAUACAAUCGUGAAAGCAGCAUUCUUUUGUCUAUAAUUAUACUGACUUUUAUCUGGUUAUCAGGGAGGGAAAAGAAACUUCUGGGCUUUGUAGUAGAAGUGGUAAUCAUGUUUCUUUCAAGAUUGUGGAAAUAAGUAACAUACAAUUUUAAGAGGCACUUAUUAGAAUGAUUCAGAACUUCUCUUCGGUUGUCUGAUGAAUUAAAAAAAUUUGAGUACAAUUUAUCAACAACAAAUGCUUGUUUAUUAUAGCAACAUAUUACUUCAAACUCAUUUGCCAAGUGGCUGCAGAUGCUACACAUCAAGCUGUUUAUUUUCCCAAAUAUUUUGUGGGUUUGUUAUUUUGUUUAAAAAAAAAAAAGGCUUGAAAA